rnacentral:rRNA from 1 species
UGGGGAGCAAACAGGAUUAGAUACCCUGGUAGUCCACGCCCUAAACGAUGGAUACUAGACGAAGGCGGAUUAAUUCCGUCUGUGUCGAAGCAAACGCGAUAAGUAUCCCGCCUGGGGAGUACGGCCGCAAGGUUGAAACUCAAAGAAAUUGACGGGGACCCGCACAAGCAGCGGAGCAUGUGGUUUAAUUCGACGCAACGCGAAAAACCUUACCAAGACUUGACAUCGUAUGACCGCUAUGGAAACAUAGCUUCUCUUCGGAGCAUGCAGACAGGUGGUGCAUGGUUGUCGUCAGCUCGUGUCGUGAGAUGUUCGGUUAAGUCCGGCAACGAGCGCAACCCCUAUUAUUAGUUGCCAAUAUUAAGUUAGGAACUCUAAUAAGACUGCCGUGGAUAACACGGAGGAAGGUGGGGAUGACGUCAAAUCAUCAUGCCCCUUAUGUCUUGGGCUACACACGUGCUACAAUGGCUAUUACAAAGAGCUGCAAACUCGUAAGGGCAAGCGAAUCUCAAAAAGAUAGUCUCAGUUCGGAUUGUGGGCUGCAACCCGCCCACAUGAAGUCGGAGUUGCUAGUAAUCCCGAAUCAGCAUGUCGGGGUGAAUGCGUUCCCGGGCCUUGUACACACCGCCCGUCACGCCAUGGGAGCUGGUAAUACCCAAAGUCGGUACACCAACCGCAAGGAGGAAGCCGCCUAAGGUAGGAUCAGUGACUGGGGUGAAGUCGUAACAAGGUAGCAGUACCGGAAGGUGCGGCUG